rnacentral:lncRNA from 1 species
AGCUUGAAAAUCGUAUUUGGACCUCAUUUGAAAAACAAGAGCCUGAAAUAUGAAAGCCGGAUGCAAUUAAAGAAUGUGGAAGAAGAAUGACCACGGAGACAGUGAAAAAGAAAUUCUACUGGGGACGCUGAGUUCUGACUCUGCACUGUUGGAAGAAAAUCAUUUCUCAAAAAUGGAUGUACCAGUCAUGCCAGUGUUAAUGGGAAUGGAGGAGCUCGUGAGGUAAAUCCAGGACCAUUCAUCUCGCUGACAAACUAUAAAACUUUGCAUAAGAGAAAAGAA